GGAGCGUGCUAGCUGAUCUUAGCGGCGGAUUGGUGAGUAACACGUGGGUAACCGGCUAGUAAGACUCGGAUAACUCCGGGAAACCGGGGCUAAUACAGGAUGGUUGUCUGAAACGCCUUGUUCAAACAUAAAAGGUGUCUUCGGCUAUCACUUACAGAUGGACGCGUGGCUCAUUAGAUAGUUGGUGAGAUAAAGGCUCUCCACGGCGACGAUGUGUAGCCGACCUGAGAGGGUGAUCUGACUCACUGGGAAUGAGACACGGCCCAGAGUCUUACGGGAGGCAGCACUAGGGAAUCUUUCGCAAAGGAGGAAAGUCCGACGGAGCAACGCCGCGUGAGUGAGGAAGGUUUUUGGAUCGUAAAGCUCUGUUUUUAGGGAAGAACAAGUCCCGUUCGAAUAGGGCGGUACCUUGACGGUACCUAACCAGAAAGCCACGGCUAAAUACGUGCCCGCCGCCGCGGUAAUACGUAGGUGGCCAGCGUUUUCUGGAAUUAUUGGGCGUAAAGGGCUCGCUGGCGGUUUCUUAAGUUUGAUGUGAAAGCCCCCGGCUCAACCGGGGAGGGUCAUUGGAAACUGGGGAACUUGAGUGCAGACGAGGAGAGUGGAAUUCCCCGUGUAGCGGUGAAAUGCGUAGAGAUGUGGAGGAACCCCCGUGGCGAAGGCGGCUCUCUGGUCUGUAACUGACCCUGAGGAGCGAAAGCGUGGGGAGCGAACCGGGUUAGAUACCCUGGUUGUUCCCGCCGUAAACGGUGAUUGCUAAGUGUUAGGGGGUCUCCGCCCCUUAGUGCGCAGCUAACGCAUAAGCACUCCGCCUGGAGAUGA
rnacentral:rRNA from 1 species